GAAUCAUUGGCGGGAGAAAACCUCAUCGCCGGAAAUCCAAGCAUCGCCUCUAGCAUCCUCCUCGCCGGUGCCGGCACGAUCCCCUUCUCGAGACGUAGCAACGGUGACGUUCUCUGAGAUUCGGACUUCCGAUGAGCCGAUCAUAGAUCGGCGACCUCCCAGCGAUGUGGAGCUUGGAUGAUUCCUUUUCUAGGAAUCGAUGCCAUAUGCGAGCAGAAAUCCGCAGCGAAGGAAAGGGGCCAGAAAAGCUUGGGGGUUUCGCUGUGGAUAAGUACUACGAGUGCUUGCAGAAGCUGAAUGAUGAGCUAAGGGAGGAGGCAGCUUGCGCUGAUAUUUCUGUUCUCCUGAUGAUCAUGGCCGGCACUGGAAGCUAAAAAGCGGAUAGGAUUGGGUCGGUGAGAGUGAAAGCGAUGGCAAAGAAGCUGUCCAUCAGCACCUUCCACUCGUUCUGUUUGCAUCUUUGUCGUUGACACACAAGAAAGAAAGGUCUAGCUCAGUGGCCUUCUCUUCUACAGCAAAUAUGUUGCUCAUAUCACAUAUGCAAUCAAUCUAUAUUGUAUGAAUAAAGAGUUCCAGUCUUGUGAAAUGGCUAUUCAGCAAUAAUUCGCAGUAUUGUGGCAUUAUUAUAGAGGUGGAGAGGUCACCAGCUUCGCUCAAAUUGUUUGCAUUCAGCAUUUUUAACCUUAAACGCACAUAUGCUUUAAGUGAACCCCGAUGUGCUUAUACCUGCAUCCUAAGCAUGGUAGUUUAAGUAUCCUUUCAUGUUUGUCAUUUUUUCCCUACAAGGAUAAUGGUGACCUACUACUCUAAUCAAAUGGUGAUGCUUAUGAAUGGUGAAUCUGCCCAUAUUAGUGUUUUUAGAAAUGAUAUUCAUUCAUUUUCUUUUCUUGUGUCUGAUAGAAGAGCUGCUUAUCAUUUGCAUAAAUAUCUUCUUGAACAACAUGUUGUAGUUGAUGUGGAAGGGGAGAAGCUACUAAAUAAAGACAAUGAUCUAAGGUAAAUUGAUUUUGACAUUCCUUUAUUGCAUGAGGUAAACGGGAUGGAAGGUGGGUUAACACUUAACUCUAAAGGUUCAAAUUGGAGGAGCAAACUGUUGUAUCUCAUUUGUUUCUUCACAUGGCAGAAAGAAUAAGCAGUUCAACAUCAGAAACGCUGCUUGAUAAGAAACAACAAACUGAAAUCUAAAUGGGAUAAAGGAAGCUUCUCCGAAGCAGGUUUGCAUUUUAAGAAUUAUUUGACUCAAUAUGAGUGAUUCAUUGUUCUUCAUUUGCGUAUCUUCACAUGGCGUGUUGCACUAUUGCAACUUCUCCCAUCUUCAUGCAUCAGGCCUGAGAGAACAAUGCAAAUCUUUGUGAACAAAGAUGACAAUGGAUGACAAUUGGUUAUCCAUGCAUGGGAAAAAUUAAUUAACUGCAUGUGCAUGUUGUAGAGAGGAGAAAGUAUGAAUAAUAUUAACACUCUCCUCUUAAACAUGGUUCUCUAUCAAGAAAUUACUUUUUCUUUGUUUUUCUUCUAGGCUUUUGGUUAAGGCAAGUCUUCCCAAAGAGAUCUUAUUAUUAAAGCAGCAUAUUCUCCCCAACGGACGGGGUGGUGCAGUGGAAGCAAACUUUAAACUUUAUAGGCAUCAGCUGCUGUCCACUAAAAAAAAACAUCUCAACUGUUAUUUGUUAAUAUUGUAAUAUUGUAAAAGGGCAUAAAUAUAAACAAAAGGCCUUGUCUAACUCCUAAGGUGAGCGCAUCCGCACUCCGCACACUCUUGUUAAGAACAAAAAAAAAUUGUACACACGUAAGAGGCCUUGCCUUAUUUGUUAAA